rnacentral:lncRNA from 1 species
GGGGCAGGAGACCGGAGGGAGUUGAGGUUUUGCACCCGAUAAGGAGACGCAUAAAGGGAACGGGUGGGGACACAGGGCCCCUGCAGCCUCAGGAGGAUCAGCAGUGGCCUGGUUUACUCGUGUCGUCAUUCGUCGUGGGCACCUUGUCCCCGGGGCCGGCCAGUUACUUGGCCUCCUGGCUCAUCAUCCUGCCGGAAGCAUCUCCAGCUUGGGGAUGUUGGAGGGUCCCUGGCCCCACCUGGCUGGGGAUGGAGUGUAAGCCGAGGAGAUGCCAUGUGAGGGUGCAGCGAGGAGUUGGGCUGUCUAAAAGCAAAGAAAGAGAUUGCAUCAGACACCGCAUCUGCUGACACCUUGUUCUUGGACUUCCAGCUUCCAAAACCGCGAGAAAUAAAUGUCUGUGUCUAAACCCCAACCCUACCACCUCAACUGCCGUGUGUGGUGUUUUGUGAUGGCAGCCCCAGCUGACUGAGACACCUGGUUAGACCGGAAUAAGCAGUACCUGAGUCCCUUAAGAGUGGCCAAAGAAGAAAGAAUCCACUGAGUUGACAUUCCAGUUCAGCUGCAAUCGGUAGCAGUCACCAUUGAACAUCCUUGAAGCAAUUCUUCCAAAAUUACCUUGCAUCAAAGACUGCACAAGAACUGCUCUAAGCGGAAGGACUGAUGUCGGCAACCAGGGUUCCACCAGGGGCUGCAGACAGCCCUUGACCUUCAGGUGGGAAGGUGUCACUGAGUUCAGACCCUCUGGCAAUCCCUAGCUAUCAACAUUUUGAUAAGAAAAUAAGUGGAAAGGUAGAACUGGAAGAUUUUGCUGAAAGAUUGGACAUGGCAUUCAGAGAAACAGAGGUUUUAAUGACAAACUCCAAGUUUUUGGCUGGAGCAACUGGAAGAAUGAGGUUGCCAUGAACCGAAAAGAGAGAUUGCAGAAGUAACCAAAUUUACUCACGUAGGCCAGGAAUUUCUAUGACGUGUUCCAAAUUCAGCCUCUCACUGAACACUUCCAGAGCAAGGCAACAUAAACAUCUGCAAGAAGAACAUUGUGUGAGAAAUAUCAAGUGAGAGUGGAAGAGUCUGCGGAGGGCCUCCCUGGGGCUCACCUGUGCUUUUGCCUGAGCUUCACCGUGUCAAGGAUGCAGCACUUUUUCCCUCUGGAGGAAGCAGCUUUCACCUUGGAAGAAUCUUGACCUUGCCAUUCAAAGUCACCAGACAGGGAAUCUGCCAGUGCCUUGAUCUUAGACUUCCCAGCUUCUGUAACUGUGAGCAAUAAAUGUAUGCUGCUUAUAAACUA